GAUGAACGCUGGCGGCGUGCCUAAUACAUGCAAGUCGAACGACCAGACGAUAAGCUUUCUCCUCUGCCGUUAGCGGCUGACGGGCGAGUAACAAAUGCAUAACCUUCCUAUUAUACUUGGAUAACUUCGGGAAACCGGAGCUAAUACCAGCUAAUAUAUUGAACCGCAUGGUUCAAUAGUUCUUGACGCUUUUGCUGUUUCUUAUAGCCGGAUCCGCGGCGCAUUAGCUAGUUGGUAAGGUAACGGCUUACCAAGGCAACGGUGCGUAUCCGACCUGAGAGGGUGAACGGGCACAACGGGAAUGAAAAAAGGUCCAGAAGCCUAAGGGAGGCAGGAGGAGGGAAACUUCGGCAAAGGGCGGAAAGUUGACGGAACAAAGACGCGGGGGGGAUAGAGGUCUUUGGAGCGGAAAAGUCUGUUAGUAGGGAAAAAAAAAUGUGUGAGUAACUAUGCACGGCUUGAAGGUACCUAAACAAAAAGCCACGGCUAAAUACGUU
rnacentral:rRNA from 1 species